rnacentral:lncRNA from 1 species
AUUAAACGCAUUCCAAGUUUCCAACAACAAAAAAUGCAAGAGUUGUGCAGCACAUUGAAGAUACAAUUUUUCACAUACGACAAAAUGUAAAAGAAAGCACAGUGGCCAAAGGUUGAGGGUUAAAGCAAAAAACUCAGGCACGCAGCAAGGUUGAGGUGACGACAAUGAAAGGAUUUUAGGGUUUUUAGGUUUCACUUUCUCUUUAUGCAUAUAUUACUAUUUGUUUUUAUAUCAUAUAGAU